rnacentral:rRNA from 1 species
GUAAGGAAUAUUGGUCAAUGGACGCAAGUCUGAACCAGCCAUGCCGCGUGGAGGAUGAAGGUCCUCUGGAUUGUAAACUUCUUUUAUCUGGGACGAAAAAAGGGAAUUCUUUCUCGUCUGACGGUACCAGAUGAAUAAGCACCGGCUAACUCCGUGCCAGCAGCCGCGGUAAUACGGAGGGUGCAAGCGUUAUCCGGAUUCACUGGGUUUAAAGGGUGCGUAGGCGGGUAUGUAAGUCCGUGGUGAAAUCUCCGAGCUUAACUCGGAAACUGCCAUGGGUACUGCGUAUCUUGAAUGUUGUGGAGGUGAGCGGAAUAUGUCAUGUAGCGGUGAAAUGCUUAGAUAUGACAUAGAACACCAAUUGCGAAGGCAGCUCACUACACAAAUAUUGACGCUGAGGCACGAAAGCGUGGGGAUCAAACAGGAUUAGAUACCCCGGUAGUCC